AACUCGUAUUAAUAUUUUCAAUACCAGAUGGCAUUGCUGAUAAUCUUUCAAAACAAGUUCUGCGUAAACAAAGCAUCUGAUUGGUUGAAUUGGAACCUUGCACACACACCACAUACAUUCUGUACGAAGUCUUAUUGUAUUAAAUCAAACGCAAUUAGGUGAUUGGUCGAGAAUAAAAUAAAAUAUAAUAGCGGGUGUUUAAAAUGCCAAUGGUGAAAGUAAUCAAUUAAUUGAUUCAUCAGAUCAAUACAGCGGCAUCGAAUAAUAAAAUUUCGUUAAAGUUCAGUUGAGGGUGUGUAGAUGGCAGGGAUGGAUUGUACAUUGGAUAUUUGUAAUGUGUAAGAAGUUCGUCUAAAGUAGAAAAAAAGCACUCUAACACGUGGUUUUGACAAUCGAUCGGGACAUAAGCUAGCUGACCCGCCGAGUAGGAGACUCACUUUGCAAAGCGUGCACGUCGAUGUGUUCGAAGGAACGUAGCGGAACCAGAAACAGUAUGGCUGGAGGAUUUCAGCUGUUUCAUGUCAGUGUGUGAGUGCCGA
rnacentral:lncRNA from 1 species